UUUUUUUUCUUUUUUUUCGUUUUUCUCUUCUUUUUUUUCGUUUUUUUUUUAGUAAACAAAAGUAAGAGAAACAAUGAUGUAUAAUUCAAGCAUGCUUGGUGAUCUCAAACCAAUCACAAGGAGUCCCACCCAAAGGCAAAGGGAACCAAGAUUCUCAUGAUCCUUGAGGCUAUGCAAAUGCAAUGUUAUGAUGUCAUGAGGGAU
rnacentral:lncRNA from 1 species